CAAUAGCGUAUAUUAAAGUUGUUGCAGUUAAAAAGCUCGUAGUUGGAUUUCUGGUGGGAGCGAUCGGUCUGGCGCUUAGCGCGAGUACUUGCAUCGUCUCCGGCCAUCCUUGGGGAGAGUCUGUCUGGCAUUAAGUUGUCGGGCAGAGGAUCCUCAUCGUUUACUGUGAAAAAAUUAGAGUGUUCAAAGCAGGCUUAUGCCGUUGAAUAUAUUAGCAUGGAAUAUUAAGAUAGGACUUUGGUACUAUUUUGUUGGUUUGCGCACCAAAGUAAUGAUUAAUAGGGACAGUUGGGGGUAUUCGUAUUCCGUUGUCAGAGGUGAAAUUCUUGGAUUUACGGAAGACGAACUACUGCGAAAGCAUUUACCAAGGAUGUUUUCAUUAA
rnacentral:rRNA from 1 species